AGUGGAAAAUUAAAGUCAAACCGAGAUUAUAUUUCUCUUCUUCAACCUCUUGGUUUCUUUUGCCACAGCAAAACCCCUUCCCAUUGGUUCCCACAAGACCUCUGGUUUACUCUUCAACUACACUAAGGCCCAUCUGGACGUUCGGGUUGAAUAUUUUGGAUGAUGGGUCAGGAUUUCUGGAGGGUUUGUACGGGCUAUGCAUUUUAAUGUGGCUAUGUUAGUAUAGGUUGAAGCAAGCAUGGGCUUUUGAUGCAGCUUUUCUGUCGAAUGAACUUCAGUGAAGCAAUUUGAGUCAGGUUCUGGUUCUGGAUUAGUGAUGGAUUGCAAUAAAGAAGAGGCUGUCAGGGCCAAGGGGAUUGCUUUGAAGAAGAUGGAAAGCAAGGAAUUUGUAGCGGCUCGUAAAGUUAUUAUCAAGGCCCAACAACUAUAUCCUGAUGUGGAUAAUAUUUCUCAAAUGCUUAUGGUUUGCGAUGUGCAUAUUGCUGCCGAGCAGAGAAUAUAUGGGAAUGAGAUGAACUGGUAUGGUAUCCUUCAGAUUGAGCCGACAGCUGAUGAGGCAAUGAUUAAGAAGCAGUACAGGAAGUUUGCUCUACAACUUCAUCCUGAUAAAAACAAGUUUGCAGGUGCAGAAGCUGCUUUUAAGCUGAUUGGGGAAGCUCAAAGAGUGCUUUUAGACCGAGAUAAACGUGCUUUUCAUGACAUGAAACGCAGAGCUCCUGUGUAUAAAGCAGCACCACCGAAUCGGCCCUCUCAAAAGGGCAGCUGGAGCUCAAAUGUUGGGGCUCAUAAUAACUAUAGGAGCAAUGUGACAGGCUCGAAUCCUCAGCAACAGAAGCCGCCUCAGCCAGUUCCACCUGGUCACUCUAAUGUCCGCCCAACUUUCUGGACUGUCUGUCCGUUUUGUUCAGUAAGGUACCAGUAUUAUAAAGAAGUUGUCAAUAGAUCUCUCCGUUGUCACAGUUGCCAGAAGCCAUUCAUUGCAUAUGACAUGAAUGUGCAAGGUCCUCCACCAACUACCAACAACAGUCAUGCACCACCAACUACCAACAGCAGUCAUGCACCACCAGCUACCAACAUGAGUAAGCCAGUGUUCCCCCAGAAGAACGAUGGUGCUUGCAAGGUGGAGGUAGGAUGUCAGGGGAAUGUUGGUAAGGUUGGAUCAGGAAAGAUGAAUGGCAAGAAGAGGAAGCAGGUAGAGGAAUCCAGUGAGAGUUUUAAUUCUAAGAGCAGCACUGACUCUGAAGAAGAAGAUAUAGCUGUAGACAAUGAUGGUAAUAUUCAGGGUGGACAGAAGUUUGAAUCUUUUAGAGACCAAAACAUACGAAGAUCUUCACGGCACAAGCAGCAGGUUUCUUACAAGGAAAACUUGAGUGAUGAUGAAAACACUGUAAACUCUCGAAAAAAAGCCAAGAGGAGUGAAUCAUCCUCUGCCACUAAAGAGGAGAGUGGGGAUGCAUCUAUAAAAGAGUCAUCUAAAAUAAAUAAAUCAUCUCAUUUAGCUUCUAAUGUAAAAGAAGAUCUGAAAGAGGUGAAACAGAAUGAAAAUGCUUGUUUUGAGGAGAGCUUAUCGAAUGGGAACAUGAAAGCAAAAUUGAGUGGAAAAGAAACAGUGGCUGAUGAUAACCGUAAGAAAACUUCUGAAGCUUAUGACAAUUCUGCAUCUGAUUCAAGGUCUGACACAACACUAAAGCCUGAAUAUUUUCAAUAUCCUGAUCCAGAUUUCAGUGACUUUGACAAGGAUAGGAAACAAGAGUGUUUUGCAGCAGGGCAGAUCUGGGCUGUUUAUGAUACUGUGGAAGCCAUGCCUAGAUUUUACGCACAGAUUAAGAAAGUUCUCUCUCCCGGGUUUAAGCUGAGGAUAACCUGGCUAGAGCCAGACCCAGAUGAUGAGGAUGAAAUCAAAUGGUUCAAUGCGGACUUGCCUACUUCUUGUGGUAAGUUUACAAAGGGGAACACGGAAAACACUGAAGAUCGUCUUAUGUUCUCUCAUUUGAUUUCUUGGGAGAAGGGCAGCCGUAGAGAUAGUUUCAAGGUUUAUCCUAGAAAGGGAGAAAUAUGGGGACUCUUCAAGAACUGGGAUAUCAAAUGGUACUCUGAUCCAGACCAGCAUCGUAAGCCCGAGUAUGAAUUUGUUGAAAUCUUGUCAGAGUUUUCACAGGAUGUGGGUAUACGUGUUGCAUACAUCAUUAAGGUGAAAGGCUUUGCAAGCCUCUUUUGUCGAAUGGUUAAGGAAGAAAUGGGCACAUUUCAAGUUCCACCUGUAGAACUAUUUAGGUUCUCACACAGGGUUCCAUCCUUUAAAAUGACUGGUGAGGAAAGAGAAGGUGUGCCGAAAGGAUCUUUUGAACUAGACCCUGCAGCUUUACCCCUUAAAAUUGAAGAGUUUUCUGUGCCUGAAGAUGUGGCAGUGGAGGCUGGUGCAAAUGCAUCAAUGUUCCAGGCUGAUGUAAAGAGCAGCCACUUUGAGUCUGGGGAAAGCAGUAAUGGCAUUGUUACUGAAGAUCACAGUAAUCCUCCAGCUUCCCCCUCAGAAGCUAUUGAAAUUCCAGAACCUGAAUUUUACGAUUUUGAUGCUGAAAAAUCCCAGGAGAAGUUUCAGAUUGGUCAGAUUUGGGCAUUGUACAGUGAUGAGGAUGGCUUGCCAAAAUAUUAUGGUAUGAUUACGAAAAUCGAUGCUGGCUCAGUUUUCAAAUUGCACCUUACAUGGCUUGGCUCCCGCCAGCUGCCAAACAACACUAUCCAAUGGCGUGAUAAAGGCAUGCCCAUUUGUUGUGGAAAUUUUAAGAUUAAGAGUCAAUCCCAGGUAUAUACUACUACCACUUCCUUUUCGCAUCGGGUAAGAUCUGAUCCUGCUGGUAAGAGGAAUGAGUAUGCCAUCUUUCCUAGGAAAGGUGAGGUAUGGGCAUUAUAUAAGAGCUGGACUGCUGAAAUCAAAUGUUCUGAGUUGGAGAGCUGUGAAUAUGAAAUAGUAGAAGUCGUUGAGGAGGAGGAUUUGCAUAUAAGAGUGUUGUUUUUGGAGCGAGUGGAUGGUUUCAACUCAGUUUUCAAGGCCCAAUUAAAAGAGGGGUCAGAAGUAACCAUUGGGAUUCCUCGGAUAGAGCUUCUUAAGUUCUCCCAUCAAUUACCUGCUUUCCGCCUGACAAAAGAGAAAGGUGGCACCCUGAGAGGCUUCUGGGAACUUGAUCCUGCAGCAUUGCCAGUUCAUUAUUUUUCUUGAGGCAGGAAAACUGAAUUAACAGAGCCUGUUCAGGUUAGAGUUAAAGCACCAUCCUUGUUCUUAUAGUUGCUCAGCAGAGAUACACCCAUCAAGUGCAUAUGAUAGAUGUUUGGCAGUGUAAUGAUUUUUGUCCUCAAUCCUGCUGCAUUGGAGAGAAAUUUGGAGGCUGUGCUGGUUUUUUUGUUGAAUUUUACUCGUCUCUAAUCCUCUUGAUGGUGCCAUGCAACUUGGCUAGUUAGGCACAAGUCACUUCAAGGCUUGCAGGCAGUACGUUCCCGUCAGCAGAGGACAUGAUGUGAAGAGGCUGCUGCCUCAAAUGACUUUCUUGAUGAUCUUGUAACUUUUCAAAUGGUUUAAGUUUGCGAAGCUUCCUUGUUGCCUCACUGAUUUCUUGCCCAAACUCCCCUCCCUUGCAAGGAUCAAUGUCUUUUCCCCUCCUGAUCUGACAUAUAUGAAGACCAUGGAUGCUUGCUAAUUAUAGGCUUAGGCUUGUUCCAGUGAAAUUCAUCCUUUAAUAUGGAGUUUGGUUCAGGAUACUCUCUUGGUACUAAACAUUCCUUUGUGGGGAAAAUAUGGCUUAUUUUUCGAAGAGAUGAGUAUCCCCUAGUUCACAUUACUGCGAAAGCUCUAUCCUUUCAAAGUGACAAUAACAUAACCAAUGCAAUACCUUUUGACCAAUCAAAAUAAUACUCUUUUCUCCUCUAACGCAACUUGUGUGUUUUUUCCAGAUUGCUCUUCCAUUGGACCUAGAUUUGUUUUAAUCCACUGUAUUUUCUCCGUUUUAA